CGAUGGACUAGAAAUCCAUUGUGGUCUCCCGCACAGGUUCGAAUCCUGUCGACUGCG
rnacentral:tRNA from 1 species